GGAAGCGGAUGGGAUCUGGUGGUCCUCGCGGACUUCAAAUCCGCUGGUGCAGGCCAAGCCGGCGCGGUGGGUUCGAUUCCCACCCCUUCCGCCA
rnacentral:tRNA from 1 species